rnacentral:rRNA from 1 species
GUCUAAAAUGACUCUCGACAACGGAUAUCUCGGCGCUUGCAUCGAUGAAGAACGUAGCGAAAUGCGAUACUUGGUGUGAAUUGCAGAAUCCCGUGAACCAUCGAGUUUUUGAACGCAAGUUGCGCCCGAAGCCAUUAGGUUGAGGGCACGCCUGCCUGGGUGUCACUAA